ACUCCUACGNNAGGCAGCAGUAGGGAAUAUUGCACAAUGGGCGAAAGCUUGAUGCAGCGACGACGCGUGAGGGAUGACGGCCUUCGGGUUGUAANCUCUUUCAGCAGGGAAGAAGCGAAAGUGACGGUACCUGCAAAAGAAGCACCGGCUAACUANGUGCCAGCAGCGCGCGGUAAUACGUAGGGUGCGAGCGUUGUCCGGAAUUAUUGGGCGUAAAGAGCUUGUAGGCGGUUUGUCGCGUCUGCUGUGAAAAUCCGAGGCUCAACCUCGGACUUGCAGUGGGUACGGGCAAACUAGAGUGUGGUAGGGGAGACUGGAAUUCCUGGUGUAGCGGUGAAAUGCGCAGAUAUCAGGAGGAACACCGAUGGCGAAGGCAGGUCUCUGGGCCACUACUGACGCUGAGAAGCGAAAGCGUGGGGGAGCGAACAGGAUUAGAUACCCUGGUAGUCCACGCCGUAAACGGUGGGCGCUAGGUGUGGGACUCAUUCCACGAGUUCUGUGCCGUAGCUAACGCAUUAAGCGCCCCGCCUGGGGAGUACGGCCGCAAGGCUAAAACUCAAAGGAAUUGACGGGGGCCCGCACAAGCGGCGGAGCAUGUGGAUUAAUUCGAUGCAACGCGAAGAACCUUACCAAGGCUUGACAUAUACCGGAAACAUCUGGAGACAGGUGCCCCGCAAGGUCGGUAUACAGGUGGUGCAUGGUUGUCGUCAGCUCGUGUCGUGAGAUGUUGGGUUAAGUCCCGCAACGAGCGCAACCCUCGUUCUAUGUUGCCAGCGCGUAAUGGCGGGGACUCAUAGAAGACUGCCGGGGUCAACUCGGAGGAAGGUGGGGAUGAGGUCAAAUCAUCAUGCCCCUUAUGUCUUGGGCUUCACACAUGCCACAAUGGCCGGUACAGAGGGCUGCGAAACCGCAAGGUGGAGCGAAUCCCAUAANNCCGGUCUCAGUUCGGAUUGGGGUCUGCAACUCGACCCCAUGAAGUUGGAGUCGCUAGUAAUCGCAGAUCAG
rnacentral:rRNA from 1 species